UAAUUUAAAGUCUAGCCUGCCCAAUGAUAAUUUUAAUGGCCGCAGUAUUUUGACUGUGCAAAGGUAGCAUAAUCAUUAGUUUCUUAAUUAGAAACUGGAAUGAAAGGUUGAACGAAAAAAUAACUGUCUCUUUAUAAUUUUUUUAGAAUUUUAUUUUUAAGUUAAAAAGCUUAAAUAGAUUUGAAAGACGAGAAGACCCUAUAGAGUUUAAUAUUUUCUAAAUUGAAUUUUUAAAUAGAAUAAUUUUUAUUUAAUUGAAGAAAAUAUUUAAUUGGGGUGAUUGAAAAAUUUAAUUAACUUUUUUUAUAUUAAAACAUAAAUAUAUGACUAAUUGAUCCAUUUUUAAUGAUUAAAAGAUUAAAUUACCUUAGGGAUAACAGCGUAAUUUUUUUUAAGAGUUCUUAUCGAUAAAAAAGUUUGCGACCUCGAUGUUGGAUUAAAAUUAAAAUUUGGUGUAGAAGCUAAAUCAUUAGGUCUGUUCGACCUUUAAAAUUUU
rnacentral:rRNA from 1 species